UACCAGCUCUCCGAGUUGUAGGGAUGAUUAUUGGGCUUAAAGCGUCCGUAGCUGGCUUAGCAAGUCUCCUGUUAAAUUCAGCGACCUAAUCGUUGAGCCGCGGGAGAUACUACUAGGCUAGGAGGCGGGAGAGGUCGACGGUACUUUCGGGGUAGGGGUGAAAUCCUAUAAUCCCGGGAGGACCACCAGUGGCGAAGGCUGUCGACUAGAACGCGCUCGACGGUGAGGGACGAAAGCUGGGGGAGCGAACCGGAUUAGAUACCCGGGUAGUCCCAGCUGUAAACUAUGCGGGCUAGGUGUUGGGGUGGCUACGGGCCACUUCAGUGCCGCAGGAAGCCAUUAAGCCCGCCGCCUGAGGAGUACGGCCGCAAGGCUAGAAACUUAAAGGAAGUUGGGCGGGGGAGCACCACAAGGGGUGAAGCUUGCGGUUU
rnacentral:rRNA from 1 species